GACCCAGGGUUGGCUUUCCCUCUCCACCAGCUGUUUUUUUUUCCAGUGCAGCCAGUUCAAAUUCCCCUGUUCGUUCAAUGCAGCCCAAUUGCUCUGUUAAAUUGAACAGGAAUAUUAAAAAGGCUGCAUCUGAUGCAGUGAUCAGUGGGUGAUUGGGGCGAAGACACCAUUUGCUGCAAAAAAACCCCUUUGGUCUAGGGAUUUUUUAUGGGUGAAGCUGACAAAGCCAGCUGGGAUUAUGGGAUGCAUACUAACCUCCCUGCUGUCUGGCUGCCUUCCUAGUGACUUCAUGUGACCUGAAGGAGCCCGGACUAGGGUUGCCAAGCCAUGUGUCCUACUUCACAGAAGACAGUCCUCCAUUUGAAAAAGUCCUCUAUUUGAAGAGUGGUUUAAUUCAAAUCCAGUAUAAAGAUAAAGAAUCCUAAGAAGGAGAAGUAGGCACUUUGACGUUUCCACAGCAGACUGAGCAGGCACACAGGUCACCUGUUUGCACAGUCUUCCUCACUCAGUGAUCCUUCAAAAGUGGCUACCCUAUCUCAGACCCGGUCUACAUGUGCAGCAGCAGAAAGUGUGAUUUGGACUGCACCACUUUAGACUAAAGGUUCUGAGCCACUCUGCGUAAUACAAGUUCUACAAAGAAGAAUCUAGAAACAGCUAUAAUGUCCUCCGCUUUUGACCAAACUGGAUGAAAUUUAUAAGCUCAGGAGCCCCUACAGAGUGCAUUAAGCCUGCCAAAUUGCUGACAAAUAGGUACAGGAGCUCUUUAUGGAGGAAAUAAAAGGGUUUAUCUUUCUUCUACAAUCCUUUGGAGGGGAGGUUGUCUCUUGCUCUUUUUUAUCUUAAAAUAAUUUAGAGGUGGCUGGGUGAUGUGUAUUUUUGCUUGUACGUUUUUGUGAAGAAAAAAACUUCAGCUUCACGCUAGUGUUUCCUUUCUGAUGGGCUUUCAUGGGCCUUAUGUUGCCUGUGGCGUUCUGAAGAGCUCAGCUUUUUAUUUUGUGAAAGCAGAGCAGCAUAGAAUUUUUUGAAAACUUAAAUGAAGCUUUAACUUUGUUUUAAAAAAAAAAAAAAGAUCAUCCACCGCUGUUCUUAUUUAAACAAUCCAGACCUCUUCAGUGAUCCGCAGGCAACAUUUUGAACAGCUUCACCUCUUGCAAAACUCGUGAACCUAGGGAAACAGAUAUAUAGGAAAAUGUAUAUUCUGCACAGGAAAGGACAGAAACAACAGAGUGCCACAAGGCUUUGUGGGUUCUCUUAGCUAAACCAGGGGCAUUUAUUGACCUCAUGAUCAUUCACCACCACCCCAGCCAAUGUACACCUGUAAUAAAUGUAAAACACUCAUCUCUUAGAUAUUGAAAACAGGAAGUAGUUUGAUCUAUAUUGGCAGUUUUCCAUCCCUCAUAUGGAGCCACUGCUUUCUUCUGCAACAUAGGUCUCAAAACCUUUUCUCCAAUUCUGGGAGGAGGGGCUUUCUGCCCUCAGAGAACUGAAAUGGGGCAAGAUCAUGCAAUGCAUUACUAUACUACCCUCUUGACUAUUGGGGGGUUUAAGGCAUGAGAAAUCUGCCCGCCCCCAGACACUGUUUCACAUGAGGUCCCAUAAAAUAAGAGAAAAUGCAACUGGAAGAUGGAUUAUUGAACCCUACAUAUGCCAGCUAAGGCACAUCUUUCCCAAUCUGUUUCUGUAUUGGAACAGUUUUUAGAAAAUUUUAGAUGUUUUAGUUAUGUCAUUGCUUGUGUGUUUCCUAACCUAGGCUCCUUUGUGAGGAAGGGUGGAUAAUGAUGAAGAACAACCGCAAUUCUUUUUCUCAGGCUGGGUACAAUUUGGCCCUGCAACAUAAUACAGCACUGUGCACCGUGUGCACAAUCAAGACAAAGAUGGUGAAUCAGCAGGUCAUUCUUCAAGUUCAAUUACAAACCAUCAGGGACUAUGUGAUUGUCUGUAUACUGAUCAGCUGAUGUGGACCCUGGAGUAGCUUUCAGGUGCAGGAUUCAUACAGCCCUAUGGAGCACAGUGUAAUGCUUCAGUAUCUCACUCUAGAGCCCAUGGUUUAAAACUGUGGUACCAUAUAUCUGGGCCAAGAAAAGAUCUGAAAUUAAAUUGUACAUGCUUACAUACUACAUCGGGCUGCAUCAUCCAUUGAGCUGACUUAGAGAAGGUGACAGACAGGACCUGUCUUCAGAUGAUCUGCAUGAGAGAUGGGGGAGAAAUUCUAUUUGGAUUUCAUUUAAAACUGAAUCUAGCAAAUUCACACUUUCCCCAACAAAUAUGAGAACCUACACAUAGCUAUCCUUCAAAAUUUGCACCUAUCUGAAUUUUCCUAUGCAGUUCUUCAACCAAGCAAUGUUUACAAAAAAUACAUAUUAGGGGACUAAAAUAACAUACCAAAAUGCAGUAUAUUAGGAGAAAGUGUUUGUAAAAAUGUGUAUAUUGGUCAUAACUGCAUACAAAAAUGUGUUUUGUAAGAGAAAUUCUCACUAAAACACUGGAGAAUGUUUAUGAGGAUUUUUUUUAAAAAAAAUACAAAUUGUUGCAGAAAUGCAAAGAACUGACUUUAAGAUUGGGAAAAUGAGAAACUAAGAGAACCAAAACUGGCAGAUUCUUCCAUCUCUGCACAACUGUUAUCUUAUAUUCUCCAGGACAUGUAUGGCCACAACUGUUGAUACUCAACUGUUUAUUUAUUUAUUUAUUUAUUAUUUGAUUUAUAUCCCGCCCUCCUCCCAGCAGGAGCCCAUGGCGGCAAACAGAAGCUCUAAAAACACUUUAAAACAUCAUAAAAACAGAUUUUAAAAGAUAUUAAAACAAAACAAUGUUAAAAACAUUUUUUAAAAAAAGCUUUAAAAACAUCUUUUAAAAAGGGUUAAAACAUUAUUAAAAAAACAUAUUAACAAGCAAUUCUAACACAGACACAGACUGGGAUAGGUCUCAACUUAAAAGGCUUCUUGAAAUAGGAAAGUCUUCAAAAGGCGCCGAAAAGAUAGCAGAGAUGGCGCCAGCCUAAUAUUCAAGGGGAAGGAAUUCCACAGGGUAGGUGCUGCUACAGUAAAGGUCCAUUUCCUAUAUUGUGCAGAACGAACCUCCUGAAAAGAUGGUAUCUGCAGGUGGCCCUCACCUGCAGAGCGCAGUGAUUGUCUGGGUAUAUAAGACGUAAGACGGUUGUGAAAGUUGUGAUUUACAAAUUGCUGCAGAAAUGUGGAGAAUGGAAUUUAAGAUUGGAAAAAUGACAAACUGAGAAAACCAAAAUUGACAGAUCCUUCCAUUUCUAGUCUGCAUAUUUAUUAUUUAUUACAUUUAUAUCACACCCUUCCUCCCAGUAGGAGCCCACGGCAGCAAACAAAAACACUAAGAACAAUCUAAAACAUCAUAAAAACAGACUUUAAAAAUAUAUUAAAACGAAACAUUUUUAAAAACAUGUUAAAACAAUUUUUUUUAAAGAAAAAGCUUUAAAAACAUCUUAAAAAGCAAUUCCAACACAGACACAGACUGGAAUAAGUCUCUACUUAAAGGAGGAAGGUCUUCAGUAGGCACCAUAAAGAUUACAGAGAUGGCGCCUACCUAAUAUUUAAGGAGAGGGAAUUCCACAGGGUAGGUGCCGCCACACUAAAGGUCCAUUUCCUAUAUUGUGCAGAACGGACCUCCUGAUAAGAUGGUAUCUGCAGGAGGUCCUCACCUGCAGAGCGCAGUGAUCGACUGGGCAUAUAAGGAGUAAGAAGAUAUUUCUUGUAUCCUGGUCCCAAGCUGCAUAGGGCUUUGUACACCAAAACCAGAAUGUUGAACUUACCCCUGUAGCUAAUGGGCAGCCUUUAUAAUACCGUCAGGCAUUACAGAAUGAGCUGGAAGACUUUUGGUUGUAGCUUAAAAACACAUCAAUAUGCAUGUCUGUUCUUAAUCCUAGAAAGUAUGGGAAGCAAGACUAAAUGUAGCAGCUCUUCUACUGUCUAUCUAGGCCAGGGUACAAGCAAAUAUCCAUUUUCUAUUAUCAGCUCAUAUCACUUACGUUACAACUUCACUGGUGCCUGACAGAUGGAAUGUGGGCCAGCAGCCACCAAUUUUUGAGCAGUAACAUGUUUUCUUCCUCUGAAUAUAUUGAUGUUUUUCAUUUCUUUUAAAAAAGUUGCAUUUUGAAGGAGCUGAGCAAUAAUUCUGGUUACACUUAUUACAGUUUGUUGACUGAGGCCACAAAAAAGGGGGGUAUGAAAUGCUACAUGACAGGCAGCUAUUCCCUUCCACAAUGCAUUUAGGUUCAGAUUGCAUUUUGAACUUUGAAUUAAAAAGCUGCCCCUGGAGAAAUGCAGAAUGUUCUGAAAAUACGACAUCUUCUUGUCGUCGUCCCCACCCCACUAAGCAUUGCUAAGUUUAGCUCCAGGACUCCCAACAGGAAUUGGUCAGCUGAAUCCCAGAGCACUAAUUUAAACAUUUCAGGGGAUGUGCUGUCUUGUAAUAUCAAAGUCUCACCCUUGCUGAAUACACCUGUGAUCAGAGGUAGGAGAAACAUUUGCAGCCAUGUGAAACUGGACUCAUUUGGGGUUUCAUUAUACACUUGGAACUCUGAUCAUUUUCAUCAAAGACAAAGCUAAAGUUCACAGUCCAUUGCAGUGGAAACUUUAGUGAUUUCUGUCCCAGAGUUUUGCAAGAAAUUUUGAUAGAAAGCUAAGUGGGAAUGGCUGGAGAUCUAAAUCUCUCCGACUACAUAAACCCCAGCAUAUUUUAUAGAUAAAAUUAUAUAGAUUUUAUCAUUUUCUCUGGUUCAAGGGACUGGAAGAUUUAAAAAUGAAGACCAAAAGUCAAAAACAUCAAAACCAACAAUAAAGAAUAUAUUUAAAUACAUGUCAUGGCCCUAUGGAGAAUGCUUGGCGGGAUUGGGAGAAUGGAGAGAGGUUUGUAGAUGUUAUGGAGGGGGCUGGGGAAAUCAUGGGGGGAAUAUUUCCAGAAACCACUGGCAGCUUCGUGCCUAGUGAGUUUACUAACAUCAGUAACUCCCCUUUGCCUGUGAAAAAAUGAGAGGAAUCCUCACUGGCACCCAGCCCAGACUUAGCCUUUGAAUAGAUAGACUCUAAUGAACUGACUGGACUCUUCUGGAGAAAUAAGAAUGAGGAUUGUUUGUCAAAGGCUGAAAUAACAGUUUCUCCCAGGUUGUGCAGACUGGAGAAGAGACCACUUCAGUUAAAGCAAUUUGCAUCUCUUCCCAAGAUAAUUCCCCCUUUGCUUAUAAGACAGGAAAGCACUAGAUUUAGCUCAGACAAGUAAAGUGCCCACCCAUCUCUCUUUUAUUUAGAGUGUCUGGGCAUGAUAUGGUCGUUGUGACAACUCUCCGUUGCUGUUUCCAUGCCUAGUUUGCACCUGUUCUGUAUCCUGAUAUGCCUUGUAUGUUUUGAUGCUUUGUCCCUAUGAUGACUUCUGGAAUAAAGU